AGUGAACGCUGGCGGUAGGCCUAACACAUGCAAGUCGAACGGCAGCACAGUAAGAGCUUGCUCUUACGGGUGGCGAGUGGCGGACGGGUGAGGAAUACAUCGGAAUCUACUUUUUCGUGGGGGAUAACGUAGGGAAACUUACGCUAAUACCGCAUACGACCUACGGGUGAAAGUAGGGGAUCUUCGGACCUUGCGCGAUUGAAUGAGCCGAUGACGGAUUAGCUAGUUGGCGGGGUAAAGGCCCACCAAGGCGACGAUCCGUAGCUGGUCUGAGAGGAUGAUCAGCCACACUGGAACUGAGACACGGUCCAGACUCCUACGGGAGGCAGCAGUGGGGAAUAUUGGACAAUGGGCGCAAGCCUGAUCCAGCCAUACCGCGUGGGUGAAGAAGGCCUUCGGGUUGUAAAGCCCUUUUGUUGGGAAAGAAAAGCAGCAGGUUAAUACCCCGCUGUUCUGACGGUACCCAAAGAAUAAGCACCGGCUAACUUCGUG
rnacentral:rRNA from 1 species